UUAUUUUUAUCUUUUUUAUUGUGUUUGAAUCGCAUCGGCGGGAGCGGACCCGACAAGGCUACAACGAAACGGAGUACCGAGACCAAGUUUUAAGAUCCGGACGACAGUUGCGUCGUUCACCGUCGUUACUAAUAAUUAGGAAAAUUAAAGUGAUUAAUUAAAGUAUCAUUAUUAAAGGGCGUCGCCGAUGGAUAGGUCAUUCUUUAUGAACUCUUCGCUCGUCGUCCGCCGUGUCUACUUCAUUAUCACCGGCGAGGAUCGCUUAAUGAGAGACGGCAGUCCGUGUUAUCAUUCCCCCUUCGAGUUUAUCGAUCCAAUCCUAUCUCCCUGGUCCCGCCAGAGCUUGUCCUUUGACAAGUUCAGUUCGACAGAUUAAAUCUUCGUCUCCGUAUUUGAACCCUCCGAGCGAAGUCCUUAAAACUGUCUUAUAAUCGCCACGGGGGAAGUAUGCGCGGCGCGAGAGACCAUUAAUCAAGGCCGAUAAUGAGACAAUAUCCGAGACAUUCUCGAACAGUCAGCUGCGAUAAGAGAAUCGUGUGAGAGACCAUCGUAACACUAUAUCCGUGGAUAAUGUUUAAAAAAAAUAUAAUAAAAUUUUGCUCGUCCGCAAAUUCAACUUUUCGCAAAUUUACUGAUAAUUUUUAUUUACGUCGAACUUAUUGAAUCGUGCUCCGUGAAGAGAACCUGGAAAAAAAUUGCGCCAAGAAGAAUAUUCUAAAAUCGAGUAGCCAGAUGGUAGGAGAGAGAAAUCCCUCUAACGAACAUCCUGUCGCGGAGAUAUGCGACGGUGAUUCCCGCAACCCGAGAGCUCUCGCGCGAAAAAUUCGCUCGUAGAAUGAGGAUCAGGCGCGACAGGAAGUCGCACUCCCUUCGAAAUAUCUUAGAGGAUUUCGCUGCAGUACUUGCCGGAGUACGGUUUGACGAACUUCAGCCCCGGCGAACUGGCGCGUCGCGCGGUAUAAUAACGGUGGAGGAUCACAGGCCGAUAUCUCUCGCCGUUGCAUUGAUUGUUCCUUGAGCGAAAUUGCCUGUUAUCUCAUCGCGCGUGCCGGAAACGCCGAUAGUCUAACGAGGAGCGCUUGCAAAACGCUUCAUUGUCGGGCACACAAUGGGGCCGCUUUUUCAUAUCGAAAAUUAAUGAGAAGUAUAGAUCGACGAGAAGAAAAGACAGAGAUAAUUAGACAAUCUCGAAUUAUGAGUAUUUUGGUAAUCAAUCAUCCUACAUAAGAGAAAUUGUAUAAAAGUAUUAAUCAGAUUUCUUUUCGUAACUAACAUUGCGACUGAAACAAGUCUGGAACAAAGCUCGAAACGAUGGGAUAACAGUUUGCACAAUAUGAUGCAUACUUUUAAUAUCCACGUCUAAUAUUAUAAAUUUAAGAGUUUGUUUUUCCAUGAGAGCCCCGCCCAUUCUCUUUCCUGUCUUUACCUCUUUCCUAAAAAUAAAAUCUCUUUAUUCUGGUU